GUUCGUCACGCUGGAGGCCAUAGAGCCGCACGCUGCAAUGCUUGUGAAGCUAACGCCGGAGGCCUGAGACAGAGCGGCGUACACCACGGGCACAUGGCGA
rnacentral:SRP_RNA from 1 species